AUGCGAAUGGUGGGUGUCAGGAAGGUAAGACUGGUUUGCAGCCAGCAGUAAUGCCGAAAGAGCCGAUCAUCAUGAUGCAGCGCCCCCAGUCUAUCACUCCAAAGCAUGGCAUCCCGUCAAUCACAUCACCACCACUGUCCACAGGAUGGCAUCCAAAUGGCAACCCUGAGACGAUGUUGAUGGCGACAGCAAAUGGCGGCUUAGGCCACCACUUGCGAAGCCAUAGUUUGACUAGCUUGAGGGCUCAACAGUGUUACCCCCCUAAAAGUUACCAGAGUCCUAUGGAGUCGUCUGGCAUUCCAGGGU
rnacentral:misc_RNA from 1 species